rnacentral:tRNA from 1 species
AUUCUAAUAGUUUAAUUAAAAAUUUAAGAUUGUGGUGCUUGAGAUAAAUUUAUUUUUAGAAUA